rnacentral:siRNA from 1 species
GCUCGGGGGUCCCAGUUCCGAA